rnacentral:rRNA from 1 species
CCUACGGGAGGCAGCAGUGGGGAAUAUUGGGCAAUGGGCGCAAGCCUGACCCAGCAACGCCGCGUUAAGGAAGAAGGCUUUCGGGUUGUAAACUUCUUUUCUCAAGGACGAAUCAAGUGACAGUACCUGAGGAAUAAGCCACGGUUAACUACGUGGCAGCAGCCACGCUAAUACGUAGGUGGCAAGCGUUAUGCGGAUUUACUGGGUGUACAGGGCGUGUAGGCGGGACUGCAAGUCAGAGGUGAAAACCACGGGCUCAACCUGUUGCCUGCCUGUGAAACUGUAGUUCGUGAGUACUGGAGAGGCAGACGGAAGUCCUAGUGUAGCGGUGAAAUGCGUAGAUAUUAGGAGGAACACCAGUGGCGAAGGCGGUCUGCUGGACAGUAACUGACGCUGAGGCGCGAAAGCGUGGGGAGCAAACAGGAUUAGAUACCCGAGUAGUC